GCGCGCGCUCGAUACGGCACCGAUCGGAACAGCCAUAAUCGUUUUGUUUUACGAGCGAAUGGUGUCGAGCGCUUGCCAAUUAUCACCUGUCGCGACUUAAGAAACUUCGGCAUCGUUGAUUUAACUACCAAAGCACCGCCUCGCUGUGAGCGCAGCAUACGCGCAGAAGACCAGAAUCAGAAAGGAGGAGGAGAUGCAGACAGCUUCAUGAUUUAUUUAUCACAUGUCUGCAUGACACCUGAUUUGUAAAUAUUUAUAGAGAUGACAUGCGCUUAUUUUAAAUGCAGAAUGAUAUAGUUUUUGUGGAAAACGGAAGGAACUGAUUGUCCUUGAGAUAUGCCAACUUCCUCUAUUUAGGUGUCUCCCCUAUUGAUUAUAUUCAUAUAUAAAGCA